rnacentral:misc_RNA from 1 species
AAAAUUACUGUUCUUCAUUUAGUAAUAUAUAUUUGUAGCAAACCUAGAAUUUCCCUUACAAUUGAAGCUCAAAAAAUUUGCCUUCGCAAUACACCCAUCAAAUUCCAAUCAUUCAUUCACUCGUUAACGUCCAUAUACACAGAACUGCUCUUAUCCGAUAAAUGCAAGAUAUAUAUGUUUCUCAAAGGGAAAAAGGUCUCUUCCAAAAUGUACUUUCAGAACAGGUCAGCUAACUAUUGACACAAGUAACACUCAAUUUUUUUUCUUCUACAAUAUUUUGUGACAAAAGGCAUACCAAUGCUAAGAGGGAAAUGAAGAUUAGAAUCCAAUCAUAUGCAUAUGCCAACUAGAAAAAUGUAGAGAAAGGUGAAAAAAGAAGGGAGAAUAUUGGAAUUGAAGCAAAAGUACACAAGAUAAAACUAUAUGCAACCCUGAAAGAAUGUACAACAACAAUAUUGACUCGCUUGUGAGCAUCAUCUUUUGUUAGUUCCAGGGUGGGGAUGAUGGUCUAUAAAUAAAAUCUUGUGAUGAUGAUGUGCCGUAGUUCAAGUCAAGGUUGUGGAGCUGUUCCAUCAGCUGAGAACGCCUCUCCUUAAAGAAAUCAAGCCUUGUAUUUAAUUCUACCAAAGCUGCAGAAGCUGCCGACGGAUGUCUUGGAUAAUCCAUCAUCUCUAUUGCCCUUGAAGUGGAGGGAGCAGAAUCAACACCGCAGAACUCAUCCAUGGACAUGUUAGUGGAUGCCUCAGUGCUUUUAGAAUCAUUGAGGCUUGUUGAUUCCACAAAUUGCUUUCGCGGAGGUUGCCUGUUACUGCUGCCGGUUGCUAAUCCUGUUCCUUUAACAUUCCUCCAAUCUGCCUCCAACAAACUCUCCUUUGAUUCUCUAUCUCUAUAAUUCUUCUCCUACAUUGCCACCACUAAUGAUCUACAAAAUAACAACAAAUUUCAAACUGUUUCACCAAGAUAACCAAGAAAAGCAGAUUGUGGAAUCUUCUUGAACAACCAUGUGCAAGUUGGGAUUAGCUGUGGUUCUUUUCCUCUAUUUUACUCAGUUUAGGGCCACUUUUUCAGUAACAUAUAGUUAUACAACAUCCUAUCUUGAUCAUGUAAUCAAUCAUUGGUACACCUCAUAUCUUCUUUGUUAUUAUAACUUGGAUAUGCUCAAUAUACGUGUGCAUUUCAUUAGUUUACACAAGAAAUUGAAGUCAUCUUAAUCAAUCCUCCCUCAACUCAUCUUCAAUGAUUGCCAGUUCCUCCUUAGAGUGCACUCAUCCCUCAUACUGAUUAUGUUCCCAUACAGCUAACUUAGCAUCAGUCUCUUUGGUAUGCUCAUUUUACGGACAUGUUUCUUCACUGUCCAACAUUCCUAACAUUCAGCAUCAUAGAUCUUAGCAAACCAAAUUAGACUUUGUCUGGUUAGCUUAUUUUGGCUUUUCCUUUCCUUAUUUGGCUAUUUUGGAAGAUUUCCUUUUUUUCAAAUUAACAUAUGGUUAAACAACAGCAGGCGAUAUUUAUGUUUCAUUUGGUAAACUUGUGACAUUUUUUUUCCCUACUUUGUUAGUGUAUUUUCAAUAUCAAAGACAUUAAUGAAUUUUACAAUAAUAUUUUCCUGCUAUCACAAAAUACAAUAACAAAAUAUAACAAAAGUUUUAUCAAGUGUUAUUAUUAUUGCAUUUGUUUUCUAAUAAAAACAAAACUCGCAGAAAGUACUCUUUAGGGAUUUUAACACCACACAUGAAAGAUUUUAAUCUCAGUUGCGUCAGACAUAGCAGAUCCUAAACCCAAAUAAAGAAGGGUUAUACUUUGUAAUAUGUGACAACCAACAAAAAUUUUUCACAUCCUUAUGAUAUGAAUCCUAUUUAUCUUAAUGUCAAAUGAUCAUAAAGUUAAUCCCAUCAUACGAGGAUAUCAAUAAGCAAAGCAAGUUCAGUAUAGCUCAUUUAGAGCCAAACUGUAGUUCAACUGUUGUGACAUGAAAUCAUAAAGGAGAAACAAAAGAGAAGCUGACAAGAUUUAAAUCCUAAGCGGAAUAGAAAAUUAGAAUUCCCAACUUUGAAAAAGCAGAAAGAUGUAAUUAUAACUAUGCAAUAUCUAUUUUGUGAAGCUCUUAAAUGAAUGUUUCAAUUUACUUUAGUAAGGCGCUAUACAAUACCUCAGUUCUUUGUUUCCUUUCAUGAUUAACAAAAGCAAGGGUUGCAUCAAAAUCUUGCUGAAGAAAUCUCUGUUGAGUGCUAUGAUUUUGGACCUGUUGAUAAUGGUCACAUGCAUCAGAGAGGGAACCAUAAUGAUGCUGCCGUUGCUGAUUAAGUUGCUGGUGGAGUUCUGCAACUUUCUGUUUCAACCUGGCCACAUCUGCUUCAGCGAGAGCAAUCUCCUCAAGCUCAGCUCUCGUUUUGGAAUCCAUGCCCCGUGAGCUGGAGAACUGUCCGGAUGACAUGCUCAAGCCAACUUCCAGUGCAGCUCUAAGAUCUCUUUCAGCUUGAAGCUGCUCUUGCAACCUUGACACAUCUUGUUCAAGCGCCAACCGUCGCUCAUGCAAAGCUUGCUUCCUUCUCUCUAAGCUAGCUUGUAAAAUUGCAUUCCCUCGGGCCUAAACAGGCAACAUCAAAUCUUGUUAGACCUGAACGGACAUAUUCCAUAAUCAAGUAUAAACAGGUUUAAACAAAGUGAUUAGACCUCCUUUGCAAUCCUGUGUUUCAAGUCAUUUUUUGUGAUCUCAAGCCUCUGAAUAGCAAGCUCUUCUUCUCCAGAAAAAUCAACUGAUUCCACCGAUGGUGUCUUUCUGGCAUUACUUCUUCCCCAGAAUGUUGACCGCUUUCCGUUCAGAUUGGAGGUCGCAACUUUACCAGUUGGCUUCUCAGCAGAUGAAUCGAGCCCAGAUAUAGGUGAAGAAGGAACAGGAUCAAUUGAAGAUAGAAUUUCCCCCAUUGAUCGGCAAGAUUCACCAACAGCUGGUACAUUUGAAACAUGAAUAUCACUAAUUGAAUCAUCAUUUCCUUUCUUCAGUUUACUUGGUUGUUCCAUGAGUUGUACAUUAGGAUCUCUAGUUUGGACUGAAUCAACAGGUAAGUUUGAACUCUCAGCUGGAGCAUGAUUGGUUCUUGGUGAUCCAUCAGAAUCAUCACCACCAAAAGCCUUAUAGUCAUAAAGAUCACUGCCAGCAUAACCACUGCUCUCACUCAAUUUUCCACUGAUUACACGUUCAGCAUCAUCAUCAGUUUCUUGAUCAACUUCAUUUUCUGCAUCGUGAUAACCAUUUUCUUUCAAAUCCAUAUUUUCAUCAUCGGUUGAAUCUUCACUCCCACUGUUUUCUAUCCGAGAAUCAGCAGCGAUAGAGCAUCUAUGAAGAUUUUCAUCAUCAAAAAUAUUGUCAUGCUCCUCUAAAAGAGUUGCAAUGAUGGCUUGAGCAUUAUUAGCAGCAUUUGCAGCAGCAAGAAGCUGAGCAGAACUGUCACCAUUAAUAUCGAAGUCAUCUUCCAACUCACAUUCACCAGCUAAUAGAGGACGCAACAGCAAGGGUGCCAUGCAAGCAGCAACAGCAGAUGCAGUCAUUCGAUUUUCAUGAGCAUGAGAAGAGAUUGUAUGCAUCAUCUUCAGAAUUCUCUGUAAUAAACGUCGGUUUGGUUCAGGAAAUGUCUCCAAUAUUGCAGAGCGCAUUGCAUUAAUCUGAGCUUCCUUACGAUCAAUUUUAUAAGCCUCCAGCAAUGCAGUGCAGCAGGAUGCUGGAACUGGAGAGGAGGGCAGCUCCCUUAAGACAUGCUUUACACAAUCACCAACAACAUGAGCAUCUUCAUCUACUUCAAAUUCAGUCUUUCCUUGUUCAUAUUCUUGAACUCUACGUUCAACCUCCUCAACAUCAGCAGAUUGUCGCAAAAUUCCUUCGGUUUUAGUUCCAAAUUUCUCAAGAAAAUGAAGAGCUUUCUCAAGGAAUGAUGGACCUCCAUCAAUAUCUUCAAGGGCAAGCAAAAUUGGUCUUCCAACAACCAAUGAUUUAACAGGACGUUUAUCCCUCCAUUGAUGGAAAGACCCUUCAAUAACAUCAUUGGUAUCACUCCGGAAAAUUCCAUUAUGUCCCAUGACAAGGGCAGCACUUGGUGCUUGUGCCAGUGCAUGUUCCAGGGCUGUCUUCCACUCAUAUAAAUCCUCGGAAGUUUCAGCCUUGAGGGUGAAUGCUCGCCCAUCACGUCCAUCAGGAAACAAGACAGUUAACAACUUUUUAUCCUCCCUAACAACGACACUUCCUGAAUUGUUUAAAUCAAUUCCUCCCAAAGUUAAAUUUACUUCACCACCUCUUUGCGGUAAAGCACUAGGAUCAUUUUUAAAGAACACCAAGGAAGUGCGUGUCAAGAUAAACCACCGUUUCUUCCAUGAUUUCCAGCCUAAUCCUUUUGAAGAUAUGAAAAGCGGCCCACUCUUGAAAACCUUAUUGGAAGCUCCAGCUCUCGGCCGCUCGAAAGCAGCUAAAGAAGCCGACAUUGAACCUCGACUCAAACACAGUACUCCAGUACUUCCAAAUGCUUAUCACUGCAACUAACUAAAUCGCCUGAGUUCUCCAUUGAGUCAAUUUGCCGUACGGUGAUUGAUUAGAUCAAGGAGUUAACUCAAGAAUUGAGAGUCGGUUGAAGAUCUGGAGAAGCAGAUAAUGAAAUGUACCUAGGGUUUUUGAUUCGGUAGAUAGCCACUCAACAAGAACAAUAAAGAAGAAAAAGAACAAAAAAGCGGAGUCAUCAGUUGUUCUCCAAUCUUUAGAAUCUCCGCUUUUUUGCUGAAGUAACAAUUUAUAGCGAAGGCAAAUCGAUACCGAAGGAA